ACUCAGUUCAGAGUUUCAGCUCAGCUGCACACAUUUUGUGCUGUCAAAGAUGAACAACUCUCUUCCGGUGCAGAGUCUCAGCGUUACGGGCUCUGCUCGAAGGUUGCAGCUGAAACCGAGUUAGAUGUGUCUGCUGGAGGGGCAGAGAGGGAAUGACCCGUGAGGUGAGUUCUAAAAAAGCAACCCACUCUGGUAUCAGCGUGGUUGCUGCUGCAAGGUCACACAGCAAAGGAACAUUUUCUGUCCUGAAGUUUUGACUGGAAAGAUGAUACGGCUGUUUUCCAGGAUCAAGGAGCAGGAGAGAGCCAGCACCAAGAAAGAGCACCUUGGUCUGCAAAAGAGGAUGUAAAUCAGAGAUGGGGAAACAGUGGCCUCAGCUUUCUCAUACUCUUUGUCCACCACCACAAGUCUUUGGCAGAGCUCGUCUGCAGCAAGCUGACAGACUCCUGAACUCCAGUGUGCAACCUGAGCCCCUGGUCAGUGAGUAACAUGUCACCUAACUCCAUCCCUCAAAAGCCUUUUCCUCUUGGAAGCAAGUCCUAAAUUGCAAUGCAUCUGAAAUGAAAUAGUAAACUCUUUGGGCUUGUACUCUGAAGUGCUAUUGCUAUUGUAGGUGCUGCAAAAUAGAUGUUUAAUACAGUAAAAUAAUUCUUUUCAUGAGAAUUUUAUGUUAAUUUCUCCCACUUUGUUAAUAUCUACAGGAGGAUCUCUUAUCAUUGUUUUUAUAACAAUAGCCCUAUUGCUCCAUGUUUUUAUUAGGUCUAAAUUCAGUAUAAAAUGAAAGACGUUUACAGUUUCACCAUACAGAAAAUGGAAAGAAAGACUUGAAAUGAAUACAAAGAAAUGAUACAAAAUCUAGCUAAUUACUAUCAGUAACACAUGUAGGUUUGCAACAAGAAAGUAGUGCAGGAAAUAGUGAAUCAUAAAGGGGAAGAACAACUAGAUACAAUUCCCAGCAUGCAGCGUUAUGACUAUCUGAAAAACAGACAAAGGACAUUAAUGAUUUGCCACAAUAAUGUGUCUUUCCAAUGCACUGAACCCAAAAUUUUACUUAAAAAGAAACAAAAAAUUCUUCCUAAAGAUGGACCUGCAACUCUGUUCAGAUUCUUACAUUAUGCUUAAAUGAACUGACUGGCCAUAACCCAAACUAAUGUGACUGGGGAUUUAGGGAAACAUGGCAUAGUCACUCUUUGUCCUUGCCUAAACUGUGAUAAUUUGGUGCUGAAAGGACGCCUCUUGCUGUGCCUUGAAGUCCAUUGCUGUAAUGAUUCAUGAUUACAAAAUUGUUGAUUGCAACAUCUUGAAUAUUUUGUUAUGUUUAGUUCUAAAUGUCUCUGAAGUAAAGGGCAAAAGAAAGUUUUCUGUCAUCUCAUGCACUCAGGCUUCAGAUCUGUGGUAAGACAGUCCCAAACUCUUACACAAACGUACGUGCACAGUGCUGGUGAAGAAAGGCCAGGCUGGAGAGGCAAUCCCACACGUUAGGGCACAUCCAGGCUGUCAGAAGCAAGAGGCCUUUGCCAACAGGACUGUCACCAAAAUGUCUGAAAUGGUGCCAUUUCUGUGUAGACACCGGUGAUUGUAUUCGGACCGAGUGGUGCUCAUAUUUUGGUACGCAGGGGUGGGUUAUGGCAUGACCCUGGCCAUCACUAGCCAUUUUCAACCGUACCUGGGGCGCAGCGUGGUAAUGCCGGCUGAAUUUUGCCUAUUCCUCCUGA